GAACGUCGUGAGACAGUUCGGUCCCUAUCCGUCGCGGGCGUUGGAAAUUUGAGAGGAGCUGUCCUUAGUACGAGAGGACCGGGAUGGACUUACCGCUGGUGUACCAGUUGUUCUGCCAAGGGCAUUGCUGGGUAGCUAUGUAGGGAAGGGAUAAACGCUGAAAGCAUCUAAGUGUGAAGCCCACCUCAAGAUGAGAUUUCCCAUUUCUUUAAGAAAGUAAGAUCCCUGAGAGAUGAUCAGGUAGAUAGGUCAGGAGUGGAAGUACAGUGAUGUAUGGAGCGGACUGAUACUAAUCGAUCGAGGACUUAACCAC
rnacentral:rRNA from 1 species